AGCAUAUCACUAAGCGGAGGAAAAGAAACUAACAAGGAUGCGCUUAGUAACGGCGAGCGAACCGCGCAAAGCCCAACUUGAAAAUCUCCCUUGGAGAAUUGUAGUCUAUAGAAGUACCCUCUGCAACGGGCCGAGCUAAAGUCUCCUGGAAAGGGGCGUCAGAGAGGGUGAGAACCCCGUAAGCUCGCGCUUAGUUGCCUCACGAGGUGCUUUCGAAGAGUCGGGUUGCUUGGGAAUGCAGCCCAAAUUUGGUGGUAAAUCCCAUCUAAGGCUAAAUACUGGCGAGAGACCGAUAGCGAACAAGUACCGUGAGGGAAAGAUGAAAAGAACUUUGAAAAGAGAGUUAAAAAGUGCUUGAAAUUGUUGAGGGGGAAGCGUUUGAAUGCUCGGGUGCGCUCAGGCUUAUGGGUCCUUAACGGGGCUCUGUAUGUGCUGAGUGCUGGCCAGCAUGGGUUAGGCUAGUGGGACAAAAUGCGUGGGUUGAUACCAUGCCGCUGCCACUGGCCUGACCAAGGCGUGAAGACUGCCCUUGUCCUUCGGGAACUGCAGUCUCAAGAUGCUGGUGAAAGGCUUUCAACCGACCCGUCUUGAA
rnacentral:rRNA from 1 species